rnacentral:rRNA from 1 species
UGGGGAAUUUUGGACAAUGGGGGCAACCCUGAUCCAGCAAUGCCGCGUGAGUGAAGAAGGCCUUCGGGUUGUAAAGCUCUUUUGUCAGGGAAGAAACGGUGAGAGCUAAUAUCUCUUGCUAAUGACGGUACCUGAAGAAUAAGCACCGGCUAACUUCGUUCCAGCAGCCGCGGUAAUACGAAGGGGGCUAGCGUUGUUCGGAAUUACUGGGCGUAAAGCGCGCGCAGGCGGCUAUCCAAGUCAGUGGUGAAAGCCCGGAGCUCAACUCCGGAACUGCCAUUGAAACUGUUUAGCUUGAGGAUGAGAGAGGUGAGUGGAAUUCCCAGUGUAGAGGUGAAAUUCGUAGAUAUUGGGAAGAACACCGGUGGCGAAGGCGGCUCACUGGCUCAUUACUGACGCUCAGGCGCGAUAGCGUGGGGAUCAAAC